rnacentral:rRNA from 1 species
UACAGAGGUCUCACGCGUUGUUCGGAUUCAUUGGGCGUAAAGGGUGCGUAGGUGGCGAUGUAAGUCUGGUGUGAAAUCUCGGGGCUCAACCUCGAAAUUGCAUUGGAUACUGCGUUGCUUGAGGAUUGUAGAGGAGAGUGGAAUUCAUGGUGUAGCAGUGAAAUGCGUAGAGAUCAUGAGGAAGACCAGUGGCGAAGGCGACUCUCUGGGCAAUUCCUGACGCUGAGGCACGAAGGCGAGGGGAGCGAACGGG